rnacentral:rRNA from 1 species
AUUGAACGCUGGCGGCAGGCUUAACACAUGCAAGUCGAGCGGGGUGAUGGUGCUUGCACUAUCACUUAGCGGCGGACGGGUGAGUAAUGCUUGGGAAUCUGCCUAUUAGUGGGGGACAACAUCUCGAAAGGGAUGCUAAUACCGCAUACGUCCUACGGGAGAAAGCAGGGGAUCACUUGUGACCUUGCGCUAAUAGAUGAGCCUAAGUCGGAUUAGCUAGUUGGUGGGGUAAAGGCCUACCAAGGCGACGAUCUGUAGCGGGUCUGAGAGGAUGACCCGCCACACUGGGACUGAGACACGGCCCAGACUCCUACGGGAGGCAUCAGUGGGGAAUAUUGGACAAUGGGGGGAACCCUGAUCCAGCCAUGCCGCGUGUGUGAAGAAGGCCUUAUGGUUGUAAAGCACUUUAAGCGAGGAGGAGGCUCUUUUGGUUAAUACCCAAGACGAGUGGACGUUACUCGCAGAAUAAGCACCGGCUAACUCUGUGCCAGCCGCCGCCGCAG